rnacentral:lncRNA from 1 species
CUUUUGCAGCUCUGUGAGGAAGAAGAUGAUGCCUCUAGUCCAUUGGCUGCACCUAAGCCUGAACCUAAUGACCAGACUCUUCAGGCUGGGGAUAAAGUCAUUUUUCAAGCGGUGAGUGAGUUUUGUAUUCCCUUUCGAAAAUAAAUAAUCUAUUUUGCACUUCAUAUUUUUGCAGGCCCUGUGACAUUAGCUGCUUAAGUUCUCUCUCACUCAUGUUUCUCUACUUUUACUUUAUUAGGUGCAUUACUUUGACUUUUUAUAUACAUCAGUCUCAUAGAUGCUUCUGUAAUAGUUAAUAUCAUGUAAUGUAAACUAAAAAGAUUUUAAUUUGUCUCUUUUGCUCCUGACAACGGUGCUAUGAUGUUUUUUAUUUUAAUUUGUUUUCACUGAACAUUUAGUGUGGUCGUUUUAAAGUCUGAGCUUUCAGUGUGACAAACAAAGUCCAUAUUUCUGUUAUAUUUGGACUGAAAAUGUACGUAUGUUUAGUUUAAAGUCAAUUGCUCCUUUCUUGAAAUUUGAAUAGUAUCUAUCAUCUAUUAUUUAUAUAGAAGCCAAAAAGCACAAUGUGCAUACCUUGGUAGCAAUCCCACUGCUUUAUUUGUUUUUCUUCACAAUCUCAUUCAUUUUUAUAUCUUUCUGUGGGUUGGAGGGUAGAUGGGAAGGGGUUUAAGAGAGGCGGGUGGUAAAUUGAGUGGACAGUUAGCUGCCCGACAUCUUGGCUGCCUCAUAGUAGAGUUAACGGUACUUUAUGGCAUGACGAUGCACACACAGAUUUAUUUCAACUAUCCUUAACAAUAUAAUUGAAUCAUUUGGAUUGCAAUUUUAUUCAUGCAUCUAAAUGCAAGUCUUCACUCAAUCGAUACGGUUUGUAUAAAUUAUUAGUUUGUCACUGGUAGUGCAUGUUGAAUCACUUAGGUCAUGUAAGGAUCACAUGACUCUCAAUUUUUAUGUAAUUCUGGUUUAAGAUCUCAGAUGGAUAGUGAGAUAAUCAUCCACUGUGUGGCAAUGAAACAAGGUAGAUGUGGCCAGAUUUUUAUCGGUGGAGAGCUUUAUGAAGAAGGUAGUCCAAAGAAAUCGAUUUUUUUUCCAUCACUUGCUGCCUAAAUGGGUAGGUGUAGGCAUGUAGCAAACCCACCAUCAAGGCAUGUAUGUCCAUACUUUAGAGUUUAAUGCUUAAUGUAACAUGUUUUUUUGGAUUUCUUUAAUGCAGCUUUUUACUAAAAAUGGAUUGUUGGUUAUUUUAUCUUGUGAAUCAAUCUUGGGCAUCAGGGAUGUUGACUCUAAUGGGGCUGCAUAGAACAGUUAUUAAGUAUUAAGCCUUAUUUGAAAGCAACUUGAUUCUUUAAAAGUUAGCUGUUUUUAUCCAUACCGAUUAAUGGCAUUGUCUGUCCUAAGUUUAUUUAAUGGUUAUUUUCUAUUGCAAUGGGCGUUAGGCUAGUUAAAAUGAUCUAUUUUUUUUUUAUUUUCCCCUUUUAAGUGAUUGAAAAGAAGAGAGAGGUUCUGGCGGUUUGGUUUGUUUAUUCCUUAGAGUUUAUGCUUCUUUGCUUUUAAAUAUUUUUGUUUUUCUUCAGAUAGCGGAAAUUUCCUCUUGCACAUUGUACAUUUAUCUAUAUUUCAAUCCUGAGCUUGUUUCAUCGUUGAAUCUCACCUGUAGUUGUAAUUAGUUUCCUGGCUUAACUGUAAAACAGGGCCAGCAGCAACAUGAUUUUCCGUUGGUUGAUGAGCGCAAGCAGUCAACCUCAGGAGUUCAAACAGUGGCAACUAACAACCAGGACGGGCCUGCUCUAGAAUAUCAGCAGUUUGAUUUACAUCAAGACUUUGAUCACAGCUUAUAUACUGGUUUCAAUGGUACAGGUUAUUCUGAGGAGGAGUCUAUUCCUCAUAUAUCUAGCUAUCUACCAAGUACAUGCCCUCCUCCUUCUGCUUUCUUGGGCCCCAAAUGUGCACUUUGGGACUGUCCAAGGCCUGCACAAGGGUUAGACUGGUGUCAAGAUUAUUGCAGUAGCUUUCAUGCUGCUCUAGCUUUGAAUGAAGGGCCACCAGGCAUGGCCCCAGUUCUUCGACCUGGGGGCAUUGGUUUAAAGGAUAAUUUACUCUUUUCUGCUCUUAGUGCAAAGGCACAAGGAAAAGAUGUUGGCAUCCCAGAGUGUGAGGGAGCAGCAACUGCUAAGUCUCCAUGGAAUGCACCUGGUAAUUAAAUCUUCCUUUGUUGGUUUUCAUUUUGCACAAUUGAUCUGCUACAGGUGUUGACAAGAUUGUUCUUUUAUUUGAAUGCAGAGCUCUUUGAUCUUUCUGUUCUUGAGGGUGAGACUAUUAGGGAAUGGCUUUUCUUCGAUAAGCCUAGAAGAGCAUUUGAAAGUGGAAACAGAAAGCAGAGGUCAUUGCCAGAUUACAGUGGGCGUGGUUGGCAUGAAUCUAGAAAGCAAGUUAUCAAUGAAUUUGGAGGUCUGAAGAGAUCCUAUUAUAUGGAUCCACAACCACUGAACCAUUUCGAAUGGCACCUUUACGAAUAUGAGAUUAGCAAGUGUGAUGUAUGUGCCUUAUACCGGUUAGAACUAAAGCUUGUUGAUGGGAAGAAGAACUCCAAGGCAAAAGUAGCAAAUGAUUCAGUUGCUGAUUUGCAGAAACAGAUGGUAAAGCUCUCUGCUGAGUUUCCACCUGAUAACAAAAGGCCGGCUAAAGGCAGAGCCAAGAUUAAUGCUAAAGUUGGCAUGGGUGCUGUCUAUCCAGCAUCACACAGAGUGACCCCUCUAAAUGGAACAUACGAAUACGGGUUAGCUGCACCAUAUGACUAUCUUGCUGAGAACAUGGGCGAUUAUUAUGGGACAUGAUCUGAUCCCCAUUGGAGUGAAGUACAACAUGCUGCAUUCAACAUGCUUAUACAUUAUUCAAUGCUGUUUCUUCUUUAUUUUGGCCAACCUUUUUCUGAGUUUCUUUUUCUCCCUUCCCCUAGUAACAAGAAUCCAAGGCCAUUUUUGUUUGCCUUGUCAAGAUAUUGUGAAUAGCUCAUUCUCACUGGAGUGCGGCAUUGAAGCUGCUGGAUGCUAGGUUCUAACCUAAAACUUACAGCAAUUGCUGUAUGCCAUUUAUGAUUUGCAACUUGUUUGAUGCUAGAAUCUAUUUAGCAUCAUUGGAGUUGCCCUGCCGUUUAAGCUCUAUUGCUGUGAUUCAUCUCUGACUAUAUUCUCCAAAUUAUGAUCUCAAUUUAAGUCAUUUGCACUAUUUUAUGGUAGUAGCUGCAGGACAAACCUUUAAAGGUACAUAGUAUUAGCCAUGUAAUAAAAAUGUUUCAGUCUCAAUUGAGUAAUUUUUGUAUGAUUCAAGGAAAUCUUUGAAAGCCAUCAGUGAUAUGAGCUACCUAUCUUGUGUUUGAUGAAUUCCUUGUCUGGUUAAAGUUAUCUUAUCUGCUGUUGCUUGUGAAAUCAUAUGUAACCAUCAUAAAGUAUUGACCAAAAUACAGAAACA